UACAAUAAUUAUACCAUUGUUAAUGCAUCGGAUGCCAUCAGAACUCCAUAGUUAAGAAUGCUUGGGAUAGAGUAGUACUGGGAUGGGUUACCUCUCUGGAAGUCCUAGUGUUGCAC
rnacentral:rRNA from 1 species